CUUCCUUAUAGAUGUCUUUCUUUUCGUGCUUCACUUUCAUGUCUUGUAACUGAAAAAUAGAGAGAUUCAAACACAUCAAUUCCAUAUUUGAUAAAUUUUUUUUAUGGAUACAUAAAGUGUAAAUUAUGGAUACUUCUUAUACAUAAAGUGUAAAUUAUUGACAUAUUAUUACAAUUUCUUCUUUUAUGGAAAAUUAAAAUACAUUUAAUAUUUAUGGAGAGUAUUCAAAAUCAUUAAAUCCAUAUAAAUGAGGGAAAAUUUAUUUAUGGAGAAUAUUCAAAAUAUUUAUAGAAAAUUAAAAGGCAUUUAAUAUUUAUGGAGAGUACUCAGAAUCAAUUUAAAAAGCCAAUUAUUUGCAACCCUUAAAUGAUGGAAAAUUAAAUGAAUACAAUCAAUAAAUUGAAUUCUGGAAAACUGAAAAAGUGAAUAUGAAAUUGCAAGCCUUAAAAAGCCAAGUGGGAAGCAAGGAUGGCAAAUAUUAUUAUAUAGAUAGUAGAAGUGCAAAGAACAUGAAUUUUUGGCUAAGAACAAAUAUUCAUGUGGGAAAAUCAAAACUGAAAUCACAUGGAAACAAACUUCGUUAUUACAGAAUUUAUGUUAUCAUCUAAAAUUCUAAA
rnacentral:lncRNA from 1 species